rnacentral:rRNA from 1 species
GACGAACGCUGGCGGCGUGCUUAACACAUGCAAGUCGAACGGAAAGGCCCCCUUGUGGGGUACUCGAGUGGCGAACGGGUGAGUAACACGUGAGUAACCUACCCUUGACUUUGGGAUAACUUCAGGAAACUGGGGCUAAUACCGGAUAGGAGCUCCUGCUGCAUGGUGGGGGUUGGAAAGUUUCGGCGGUUGGGGAUGGACUCGCGGCUUAUCAGCUUGUUGGUGGGGUAGUGGCUCACCAAGGCUUUGACGGGUAGCCGGCCUGAGAGGGUGACCGGCCACAUUGGGACUGAGAUACGGCCCAGACUCCUACGGGCGGCAGCAGUGGGGAAUAUUGCACAAUGGGCGGAAGCCUGAUGCAGCAACGCCGCGUGCGGGAUGACGGCCUUCGGGUUGUAAACCGCUUUCGCCUGUGACGAAGCGUGAGUGACGGUAAUGGGUAAAGAAGCACCGGCUAACUACGUG